rnacentral:misc_RNA from 1 species
AUCUCCCCCGUGCUCGCCCAGCCAGACCCAGCUUCUUGAACCGCGAAGCACCGCGACCGGAGAGCAUUCGACGUAGUGCUUGCAAAGCAAAAUCAAACAAAUCGAAGCGGAGGAUUGCUGCCGCCAGGCGCCGAGAGUAGAGUUUGCGCGUUUACCGGACUGCUGGGCGCCGUUGAUAGCGCAUUUACUGCUGUUGUGCGUCGCAACCCAAUCCUUCCGAUUCGUUGCUUCUAUAAUCCGUGUGCCGCACUGACAGCGGACAUCAUCGCAAGAUGACGAUCAUCACGCAACCCUUGACGGAAAAGAAGCUGGCCAAGUCGCCGCAGGCCAAGCCUCUCGUUCAGCAUGAGUCGGGCAACGAAGGCGACGUGGAAGGAAGCCCUGUGAUAGUGACGAUGCGCGCCCGUCGCGUAAGCACGACCACAACACUGUGCGUCUUUUUCACUGCAUUCCUGGUGCUGGCAACAGGCAUCGUCGGUGGCGUGUACCUCUAUCGCCAGUUCACACACUACAAGGUCCGCCACUUCCGCGGAUGGUGUGGUGUGCCAUAUGUGUCAGACUCCAAGAUGCCACCAGUGAUGUCAGGCUCGGAUUUCUUGCGCCAGAGCUCAAAUGGUGCUUACGGUUCAUCACCAGAAGUUGCCAACUCCAUUGUAGACCCUGUUAGGGACAACAACAUUUUUCAGGAACGAUUUGACCUGGACUUGGAGUACGAACAGUACGAAGAGAUAGAGGUGCCUGACUUCUCCCAUGGCCGACGAGGACGUUUCAUUCACGACUUUGCAGCCAACAAAACAGGAAUCGUGGAUGUAGAGGGACGCCGGUGCUUCGUGAUGCCUCUCAACCGCAGCCUCGUCCUGCCCCCACACUCGCUUUUCGACCUGAUUGUCAAGAUGCGGGCUGGCUACUAUGACGUGGACACGGAGAUAGUGCGUGAGCGGAUGCGCGUUGUGACGCCCCCCAUCCUGGACUUUCGGGACGUUGGCUACUACAUCACCCGUGAAUGCUCUUCGCUGCCCACUUAUCGCCUUGAACGCAUGACUGUGCCAGUGUUCAAGCGCAGCCUCGGGCAAAGUGACCGUGCCACUUUUGUUGAGUUUGCCGGCAACAAGGUUGGCGAAAUCGAAAUAGUCAACAUCGAUGAAGCAGUCGGAGCUGGAAGCUCCCAAGCCUGAGACAGCAAGAUCGGGAUGGUGCCUGCCAUCAACUAGAUACAAGAGCACACGGGGUGGGCGGACGGCAGGAGUUACUGCAUCUAUGUCUGGAGGGCCAGGUGCUUUUGCCCACCGAGAAAAGCGCUAAUUGUGGCGGCAUAUGUUUUUCUCCCGUUCAUUUUCUUGCCCCCCCCCCCCCCCUUUUGUUCACUUCAGAGCAGUUAGAUUUGUUCCAUGGAAAAGCGGCACCUGCUCAUGUCAUGCCGUUUCUCUCUUAUUUCCUCCUUUCCUUAUUCUGUCUUUACUGUCUACUUUCUUUUUUUCUGUGCUGUAAAAUUUUCUAUGACAGUAACUACUGAAUCUGGCAACUGUUGCUAUUUUUCUCUUUGCUGUCAUGAUUUUUAGGGGCAUUUUCACUGCUUUACUAAUUUGUAAACUUGUAAUUUAGUGCUGAGUUAGGCUCAUUUAAUAACACACGUGCAUGCAUUUCUUAUAUAUCUGCGGGGUUGUGCUUCUGUUGCACAUUUCAUUCCGUAUUGUCUUCUUUUGCUUGGUAUCGACGGGGUAUCUAGUCAUUCUUUCGUGAAUGCUUUACAAUGACUGGUGCAAUGUACGUUGUCUGUAUCUCUCCAUCUUUCACAGUGACUUAUUUUUCUUCUUUCCUCUGUCACUGCUGAAAGGCUCUGUGUGUGUUUGAGCUGUCACUUUUUGACGUAAGCCUGUCGUCACUGACUUGUUAGCACAAAUAUGAAAGUGUCUACAUGACAUAGGUAAACACGUACAAAAGAUUUAUCAUUCAGCACUGGCAGUGCUGCUACGUUUUCUCUUUGUCACAUUUUGUUUGGGCACAGAAGCGCACGUGGAGCAUGUGGUUCCAAAAGGGGACUGAACACACACACCUUGUCUUUCCGAAGCAAUCAUAAACAACACUGUGAACGGUUUAGAACAGGCUUGGUGUGCUCUCAUCCCAGUGGCUCGCUUCGGAAGUAUGACAUCUUGCGCUAUCAGGUGGAACCUGAAUCUGAGCACAGGCGCAGUCCAAUGUGUUUCGCAGUGCAGUGGAUUGAUUAGGUUCAUUGCGAUCCAAGUUGUCUCUCUUGAUGUCAGAUUCCACAUUUUAUAUGGUAUAGUUUGCAGCAGCACAUGACUUGUGUGGGGCUUACCACCAUAGACGAUUAAAAGCAUACUGCACUUGCCGGCAGUGAAGCGUGCAAACUUUGUUAAAGUAUUUCUUUGUGGCUUUUUAUAGACCCCCAUAUGUGAAAUCCUCCUAAAACAUUAUUCACUAGGGUGUCGCAGGCUCACCACAUGAACCGCAAAGUUUAUUUACUAUUUCGGGCAUUGCCAGUGCCAUGGUACAUGUUGAGAUGCUUGACGUGCACUUGUAGCAUAUUAUAUAUAUAAAUAUAUACAUAUAUAUACUUAGUGUAUGUAUAUUUACUCCGGCUUGCCGUGUUUGUUCUGUGUAUUUUUUUUUCUUUUUUUUCUUUAACAGUUACAAGCUUCGAGAACAAAAUGUAGUUGCCAAGUGUAGCAUGCUAUGUUGUUGUCUUGCUCAACAAUGGGGCAAGUAGGAAAAUAAGAGAGUACAAAGGUGGUGGCGUCCCCCCAAACAUGUAUACAUUGUGUGGUUUUGGUGCAUUUUGGCUGUUUGUUUUUUGAGAAUAUAAGUACUCGUGGUCUUUGUUUGGGCAAGAGUUUGUAUUUUUGCCAGGUUUGGUUGAUUUAACCAAUAGUUUGUGCUCAGCCAAGGGGCCGUCGUAUAGCAUGCACGUAAUAUUUGUUAGUAAUGGUUCACAAGAGGACUUAAAAGCAUCAGUGCUGUUAACCAGUGACCACUUGUUCACCAAUUGCAGACUCUUAUGUCCAACAAAGUGACCAACAUGUGUGCGUCUAACGUAGUAUUUGUUGAGAGCAAAGAUUUUAAAAAAUUACCAGUCAAUUACAGCUAGCUGCUGGCGUUCUUGAAAAACAGUGGAGCUUAAGUGUUAAAACAACUUCAAAGUGCUGGCUCAGCGUAUUAUUGUUUUUGUCAAUUCAUUUCUAGUGAUGCCAUAUUUUCUUAAUUUUAUUUGUACACAUUAGUGUCUGGCCAUUUUAUAUUAAGUUUGCUGCACUUUUUUGUUAAGCUUUUGUGGUCAUGUCCCUGGCAUAAAUGCUGCUGCGCAAGCGCAGGGGUAAUGAGUGUUGUUAAGGUUAAGAAAAAAGAGUUGCUAUUACAACUGCUGCUACUACUUAUACUGCUGGUAUCGCACAUGAUACACAUUAUCACCCUGUACACACAGUUCCACCAACUGCAGGGCACGAGUAAAACCUGUGUAUUGUCGUAGUGGUUCCAAUCUUUCACAGUGUCUCCUUUCGAAUUGGUUAAUAAAAGGAGCUCGGAAGAAG